rnacentral:rRNA from 1 species
UACGUAGGGGGCAAGCGUCAUCCGGAAUUACUGGGUGUAAAGGGAGCGUAGACGGUAAUGUAAGUCUGGAGUGAAAGGCGGGGGCCCAACCCCCGGACUGCUCUGGAAACUAUGUUACUAGAGUGCAGGAGAGGUAAGCGGAAUUCCUAGUGUAGCGGUGAAAUGCGUAGAUAUUAGGAGGAACACCAGUGGCGAAGGCGGCUUACUGGACUGUAACUGACGUUGAGGCUCGAAAGCGUGGGGAGCAAACAGG